rnacentral:rRNA from 1 species
CCUACGGGAUGCAGCAGUGAGGAAUAUUGGUCAAUGGACGAGAGUCUGAACCAGCCAAGUAGCGUGAAGGAUGACUGCCCUAGGGGUUGUAAACUUCUUUUAUAUGGGAAUAAAAUGUUCCACGUGUGGGAUUUUGUAUGUACCAUAUGAAUAAGGAUCGGCUAACUCCGUGCCAGCAGCCGCGGUAAUACGGAGGAUCCGAGCGUUAUCCGGAUUUAUUGGGUUUAAAGGGAGCGUAGGUGGAUUGUUAAGUCAGUUGUGAAAGUUUGCGGCUCAACCGUAAGAUUGCAGUUGAAACUGGCAGUCUUGAGUACAGUAGAGGUGGGCGGAAUUCGUGGUGUAGCGGUGAAAUGCUUAGAUAUCACGAAGAACUCCGAUUGCGAAGGCAGUUCACUGGACUGCAACUGACACUGAGGCUCGAAAGUGUGGGUAUCAAACAGGAUUAGAUACCCUGGUAGUC